rnacentral:rRNA from 1 species
UACGAAGGGGGCUAGCGUUGCUCGGAAUCACUGGGCGUAAAGGGUGCGUAGGCGGGUCUUUAAGUCAGGGGUGAAAUCCUGGAGCUCAACUCCAGAACGGCCUUUGAUACUGAGGAUCUUGAGUUCGGGAGAGGUGAGUGGAACUGCGAGUGUAGAGGUGAAAUUCGUAGAUAUUCGCAAGAACACCAGUGGCGAAGGCGGCUCACUGGCCCGGUACUGACGCUGAGGCACGAAAGCGUGGGGAGCAAACAGG